GACGAACGCUGGCGGCGUGCUUAACACAUGCAAGUCGAACGGAAAGGCCCUGCUUUUGUGGGGUGCUCGAGUGGCGAACGGGUGAGUAACACGUGAGUAACCUGCCCUUGACUUUGGGAUAACUUCAGGAAACUGGGGCUAAUACCGGAUAGGAGCUCCUGCUGCAUGGUGGGGGUUGGAAAGUUUCGGCGGUUGGGGAUGGACUCGCGGCUUAUCAGCUUGUUGGUGGGGUAGUGGCUUACCAAGGCUUUGACGGGUAGCCGGCCUGAGAGGUUGACCGGCCACCUUGGGACUGCGAUACGGCCCAGACUCCUACGGGAGGCAGCAGUGGGGAAUAUUGCACAAUGGGCGGAAGCCUGAUGCAGCGACGCCGCGUGCGGGAUGACGGCCUUCGGGUUGUAAACCGCUUUCGCCUGUGACGAAGCGUGAGUGACGGUAAUGGGUAAAGAAGCACCGGCUAACUACGUG
rnacentral:rRNA from 1 species